rnacentral:rRNA from 1 species
UACGAAGGAUGCAAGCGUUAUCCGGAUUUAUUGGGUUUAAAGGGUGCGUAGGCGGACUUAUAAGUCAGUGGUGAAAUCUCGUUGCUUAACAACGAACGUGCCAUUGAUACUGCAGGUCUUGAGUACAGAUGCCGUUGGCGGAAUGUGUCAUGUAGCGGUGAAAUGCAUAGAUAUGACACAGAACACCGAUUGCGAAGGCAGCUGACGAAACUGUAACUGACGCUGAGGCACGAAAGCGUGGGGAUCAAACAGG